GAUGAAGAACGUAGCGAACGUGCGAAACGUAAUGUGAAUUGCAGAAUUCAGUGAAUCAUCGAAUCUUUGAACGCAUCUUGCGCUCCUUGGUAUUCCGAGGAGCAUGCCUGUUUGAGUGUUGUGAAAUACUCUCAAUUUCAAUCUUUUUGUUUGAAAUUGGAUUUGGAUGUUGUUGUGGAUCUUGCUACGACUCAUCCUAAAUGCAUUAGCGAUCUGCCUUGAUCACACACAAUGUGAUAAGAUGAGCAUUGUUAUAAUCAAGUCAUGACUGCUUCUAACCGUCCCUUUGGGACAAACGUCUUAUGUCGUUUGACCUCAAAUCAGGUAGGACCACCCGCUGAACUUAAGCAUAUCAAUAAGCGGAGGA
rnacentral:misc_RNA from 1 species